rnacentral:rRNA from 2 species
GUGACCUCMAAUCAGGUAGGACUACCCGCUGAACUUAAGCAUAUCAAUAAGCGGAGGAAAAGAAACUAACAAGGAUUCCCCUAGUAACUGCGAGUGAAGCGGGAAAAGCUCAAAUUUAAAAUCUGGCAGUCUCCGGCUGUCCGAGUUGUAAUCUAGAGAAGUGUUAUCCGCGUUGGACCGUGUACAAGUCUCCUGGAAUGGAGCAUCAUAGAGGGUGAGAAUCCCGUCUUUGACACGGACUGCCAGGGCUUUGUGAUGCGCUCUCAAAGAGUCGAGUUGUUUGGGAAUGCAGCUCAAAAUGGGUGGUAAAUUCCAUCUAAAGCUAAAUAUUGGCGAGAGACCGAUAGCGAACAAGUACCGUGAGGGAAAGAUGAAAAGAACUUUGGAAAGAGAGUUAAACAGUACGUGAAAUUGCUGAAAGGGAAACGCUUGAAGUCAGUCGCGUUGAUCAGGGAUCAACCUUGCUUUUGCUUGGUGCACUUUCUGGUUAAUGGGUCAGCAUCAAUUUUGACCAUUGGAAAAAGGUCAGGGGAAUGUGGCAUCUUCAGAUGUGUUUAUAGCCCUUGGUUGCAUACAAUGGUUGGGAUUGAGGAACUCAGCACGCCGAAAGGCCGGGUUGUUU